GCCCGCCUAGCUCAAUCGGAUAGAGCGUCAGACUCUUAUCUGAACAUUUGAACUAUCGGGUGUAUCUGAAGGCUGCGAGUUCGACCCUCGCGGUGGGCU